rnacentral:rRNA from 1 species
ACUCCUGCGGGAGGCAGCAGUGGGGAAUUUUGGACAAUGGGCGAAAGCCUGAUCCAGCCAUGCCGCGUGCAGGAUGAAGGCCUUCGGGUUGUAAACUGCUUUUGUACGGAACGAAACGGCCUUUUCUAAUAAAGAGGGCUAAUGACGGUACCGUAAGAAUAAGCACCGGCUAACUACGUGCCAGCAGCCGCGGUAAUACGUAGGGUGCAAGCGUUAAUCGGAAUUACUGGGCGUAAAGCGUGCGCAGGCGGUUAUGUAAGACAGUUGUGAAAUCCCCGGGCUCAACCUGGGAACUGCAUCUGUGACUGCAUAGCUAGAGUACGGUAGAGGGGGAUGGAAUUCCGCGUGUAGCAGUGAAAUGCGUAGAUAUGCGGAGGAACACCGAUGGCGAAGGCAAUCCCCUGGACCUGUACUGACGCUCAUGCACGAAAGCGUGGGGAGCAAACAGGAUUAGAAACCCUAGUAGUCCCA